CGCCGGGCGCGGAGCCGGGCGCGGUCGGCGGCAGCGGGAGCGCGGCGGCGGCGGCGGCGGCGGACGGGGCCGGGCAGAGGCUGCCCUCUCGGCUGGGGAAAUCCUUUCCGGAUCCUGUGCACUUAGACGGCGGCAAGAGAGCCUGCACACCCCCCGGGGACAGAGUUUGCCUCCUGAACUACACUUCUCUUAAUGAAGAACAGUAGCUCCGACCUCCAAACCAACUGGGACUGGCGCUUUAAAGUAGCUGCGAACAGUGCUCCCGUGUCUCAACAUGGUCACGUAGGAAUUUGAACCUUUUAAUUUCCAGACACAAGGAAUAACUCCCUCGGAGCACCGGCUUGGUUUAGGUGGUCGAUUGUUGGGUGUUUCGGUCGGAGUUUUUGAAUUUUUUUUGUUUCUAAUAAGGUAGCGAGGGAAGAUGGGGUACUAUUCCCUUGUAGACACAGAACAUAAAGGGGAAGAAAAAGCCUAGCCGGGGCAUAUUUGGCUGUAGGGAACCUGCCCGAGCCGCU
rnacentral:lncRNA from 1 species